GGUGGGGCAAUUGCAAUAAACGUUGGGGCAAUGGCAAUGGCAACUUAAAUAAGUUGCAAUGACGUAUUGACGUGGGCACGUAGAAUGAAAGAGACGUCUACAUGGCUACCAGCUGACGUAGUUCGUGACGCUGUUAACGGCAAAGCGGCAGCCGACAGACGGACAAACAGACAGACACACAAAUAAUAAAAACUGUUUGUUCGUAAUUUUUGUUCACUUCUUAAGAAUUUGAAUAUAAACAUACCCCAUAUCGGUCAUGCAUUGCAACUCCUUCAUAAUACGAUCCGGAUGACUUGUGGGUAUGUGAUGCUUGAUCGCAAACUUGCGACGCAUAUUGUCCGGCAGAUGAGACUCCCGUUUAAGCGUCGCCAACAGGACGGUGCUGAAGGUGCCAUUGCCAAUACGGCUGUGCACAUCGAAUAUGUGCCCAAUGUCGGGUAUGCGGUGCAGCAGAUCACUAAUGGCCUCUAUCUGGCAGCACUCUUCCACUCCCUCUCUUUCUUGUGCGUCCGCAACAGUGUUGGCAAAACAGCGGUAUUUUCUUAUCAAAUCUGGCUCUUUUCAAAAUACGAUAUAAAUUUGGUUUGUGUAUUAUGCGCAACUAAAUGGCCAGAAAUUAAAAUUCUGGCUGUGAAAAGAUUUAUCAGACUCUGUCCAUGUGCUUCAUAACUGUUGUACUUGUAUUGCAUGCCGCAACCAAAAUUUAUCAAAACGCUAAGAAAAAGUUUGGCGACAGCUCUGAGAUUUUUUUUUAAUGAACUUUGGUUUUACAUUAUAAUGAUGAAAUUCGUGAGGAUAUUGCAUAUUAUCGAAGAUAAAUCAAAAUAAAAUGUUAAUAAACAUGCAGAAA